GUCCCCUGCUCACCCGGUGGCAAAGCCGGCGAGGAGGCGGCGGCGCUGGUGGGGACUGACCCGGCAGUCCGAGAAUCCACCGCGGCCUUUUCACCCAACCGCCCCCUCCUGCGUGGGGGCCCCGCAUCCCCUGGACUGGCGUGGGCUCUGGGGCCCGAUGCCCUGGCAGCCCCGGCCAUCUCUGCCGCUGGCCGCGGGUACCUGCUCACCUGUCCACGCCGUGGCCGACCCGGGGAUCACCGACAGCCGGGCCAUGCCUCGAGUCCCGCCGCCCGCGCCGCUGCUCGGCUUCUCAGAAACGCACCUCCACGCCGCCAGCCGGGGCUCCAGGGUCCACCGCCCGGGCCCGGAGGACUGGCGACUCCCUCCGAGGUUGGGAGCGCUCCGGAUUUCUCCAACUUCAGGCAGUGUGGAUGGGGCUCAUGAAAUAGAGAAAUAUAGAGGAACAAGAUAUGUGUGUAUCUCCAAAGAGUUUAUGGUUCAUGCAGAGUCAGGCAUCAAUGAUCACAACUCCAGUCUUCAUGCAGAGCACGUCUCUUCAACAGUAUUGCCUGCUCUAUACACUAGGAAACAUUAUGUGGA
rnacentral:lncRNA from 1 species